rnacentral:misc_RNA from 1 species
GAUGAAGAACGUAGCGAAAUGCGAUAAGUAGUGUGAAUUGCAGAAUUCAGUGAAUCAUCGAAUCUUUGAACGCACAUUGCGCCUCCUGGUAUUCCGGGAGGCAUGCCUGUUCGAGCGUCAUUAAAAUCACUCAAGCUUAGGUUUACCUAUUGCUUGGUCUUGGAGAUGGAAGCCAAUUCAUUGGAAUCCUCUUCGAAAUCCAAUGGCGAAGACCCUUGCUCUCCCAAGUGUAGUAAUAACUUAUGUCACUGAAGGAAGCGAGAAAUCUUCAGCCGUAACCCCCAUAUUUUCUAUGAUUGACCUCGGAUCAGGUAGGGAUACCCGCUGAACUUAAGCAUAUCAAUAAGCGGAGGA